rnacentral:rRNA from 1 species
UACGGAGGGUGCAAGCGUUAUCCGGAUUCACUGGGUUUAAAGGGUGCGUAGGUGGGCAGGUAAGUCAGUGGUGAAAUCUCCGGGCUUAACCCGGAAACUGCCAUUGAUACUAUCUGUCUUGAAUAUCGUGGAGGUGAGCGGAAUAUGUCAUGUAGCGGUGAAAUGCUUAGAUAUGACAUAGAACACCAAUUGCGAAAGGUAGCUCACUACGCGAAUAUUGACACUGAGGCACGAAAAGCGUGGGGAUCAAACAGG